rnacentral:misc_RNA from 1 species
ACACUACAAUUAGCCGUGGUUUGUGACGUUGUGAAAUUUAAGACAUUCUGGAAGACUUUGUAAUUUCAUCUUAUGUGGUACAUGUGUCACUGUUUAAAACGGUCGAUGUCGCUUCUUCUUGUCAUUCUACGAAAGCCAAGGGAGUUAUCGUGUCCAGAUGAAAAGAGCAGCCGUGAAUGCGUGUCCAAUUUUGUCUAAAGCCAAAAAGAUUUCAUCGGGAAAGGGCUCGGGGAAUGCGGACAGUGUAUUAAAUGCUCGAAUCUUGAAGGAGGGGUCAGUAAAGACGAAAACGUUCCGUAAAGAGGACAGUCUAUCUCUCUUACAACAGGACCCAGUCAACGACAGGGCCGAGCACUUUUGUCAUUUCUAUGGGAAGGAUUCUCCAUUCAGUAAUUUUCACCCCGCCAAAUUUGUUCUAGAUGGCGUGCAAUACAAUUGUAGUGAACAGUAUAUGAUGUACCAAAAAGCAAUGCUGUUUCAAGACGAUGAAGUGGCCCACAAAAUUUUGUCGUCAGCAGAUCCGCUGACGAUGAAGAUACAAGGCAGAAAAGUGAGGGGCUUUGAUGACGACGUCUGGACCACUCAGUGUGUAGAAAUCGUCACGAGAGGGGUGUCGGCCAAGUUCAAGCAGAACCCACACUUGGAGAAGGCUUUGAUAGGCACGUUCCCCGGAUCCUUGCCGAAGCCACGCCCAGGAGUCCCCUGUGGGGGAUAGGACUCGACCUUAGUGACCCCUUAAUUAACAACCGGAAUACCUGGCGAGGGAAGAACUGGCUGGGAUACUUACUUACGGACGUCAGGAAUCAGAUCAUGGACGAGAGGGGAAUGUUUACAUCGGAGACCAGUGACACCAGGGACACGGGCAAUGGUUGUGAUUAAGAACUUAGGGCUUGGUCCGAGGCGAUCAGUCUCCGCCCCAUGGUGAACUACAUUUACAGUGUUCUGUCUAAAAACUGUCAAGGCUCUCUUUAUAUGACUUUUCCAACUUUCAGUUUUUUCAUCCAAGGUUUUCAAAACUUGAAAUUUAACACAUAGACAAAUUUUUGUAGUAGAUAUUUUGUUCUCAGUCGCUACCGAAGUAAGACAAAAUGAUUUAUGAUUAAAACUUGUUUUCAAUAUUGG